rnacentral:rRNA from 1 species
UGGGGAAUUUUGGACAAUGGGCGAAGCCUGAUCCAGCAAUGCCGCGUGUGUGAAGAAGGCCUUCGGGUUGUAAAGCACUUUUGUCCGGAAAGAAAUCCUUGGCUCUAAUACAGUCGGGGGAUGACGGUACCGGAAGAAUAAGCACCGGCUAACUACGUGCCAGCAGCCGCGGUAAUACGUAGGGUGCAAGCGUUAAUCGGAAUUACUGGGGCGUAAAGCGUGCGCAGGCGGCUUGCUAAGACCGAUGUGAAAUCCCCGGGCUCAACCUGGGAACUGCAUUGGUGACUGGCAGGCUAGAGUAUGGCAGAGGGGGGUAGAAUUCCACGUGUAGCAGUGAAAUGCGUAGAGAUGUGGAGGAAUACCGAUGGCGAAGGCAGCCCCUGGGCCAAUACUGACGCUCAUGCACGAAAGCGUGGGGAGCAAACAGGAUUAGAUACCCUGGUAGUCCACGCCCUAAACGAUGUCAACUAGUUGUUGGGGACUUCAUUUCCUUAGUAACGUAGCUAACGCGUGAAGUUGACCGCCU